GACCCCAAUCAGGUAGGACUACCCGCUGAACUAAGCUUCCAAUAAGCGGGAGAAA
rnacentral:rRNA from 1 species